UUCUGGUCUCAAAUCAGGUA
rnacentral:rRNA from 1 species